GACGAACGCUGGCGGCGUGCCUAAUACAUGCAAGUCGAGCGAGCGGCGGACGUGUGAGUAAUGUAUGGGAAAAUGCCUGUUGGAGGGGGAUAAAUACUGGAAACGGUAGCUAAUACCGCAUACCAUCAGAUGUGCCCAGAUGGGCUUAGCUAGUAGGUGGGGGAAGGGCUCACCUAGGCGACGAUCCCUAGCUGGUCCGAGAGGAUGACCAGCCACACUGGAACUGUGCCACGGUCCAGACUCCUACGGGAGCCAGCAGUGGGAAAUAUUGCACAAUGGGCGCAAUCCUCAUGCAGCCAUGCGGGUUGUGUGAAGAAGGCCUUCGGGUUGUAAAGCACUUUCAGCGAGGAGGCGUUACUCGCAGAAGAAGCACCGGCUAACUCCGUGCCAGCAGCCGCGGUAAUAC
rnacentral:rRNA from 1 species